UACGUAGGGUGCAAGCGUUAAUCGGAAUUACUGGGCGUAAAGCGUGCGCAGGCGGUUUUGUAAGUCUGACGUGAAAUCCCCGGGCUUAACCUGGGAAUUGCGUUGGAGACUGCAAGGCUGGAGUCUGGCAGAGGGGGGUAGAAUUCCACGUGUAGCAGUGGAAUGCGUAGAGAUGUGGAGGAACACCGAUGGCGAAGGCAGCCCCCUGGGUCAAGACUGACGCUCAUGCACGAAAGCGUGGGGAGCAAACAGG
rnacentral:rRNA from 1 species